GGAUAUGUCAUGUGAUUAUGGACAUUAUUGAAUUGUAGAUGGGUGUAGGAAAGGUCUAAACACUACUUAAAUUAAGCUAGCUUCUGGUAAAAGUAUUAGUUUCUCUGCAAGUAACAGGUUGAUGCAUGGCAAUCAACUGCAUCAACAAACUCAAUUUUCAUUUCAACAAAAGAAAGAUACCGAACACUCCUGUAGACAGGACCAGCUGAAGGGUAAGUGUUAUAGCCCAAGCCCAACUAUCAAGACCCAAGCCCA
rnacentral:lncRNA from 1 species